rnacentral:rRNA from 1 species
GACGAACGCUGGCGGCGUGCUUAACACAUGCAAGUCGAACGGAAAGGCCCUGCUCUUGUGGGGUGCUCGAGUGGCGAAGGGGUGAGUAACACGUGAGUAACCUGCCCUUGACUUUGGGAUAGCUUCAGGAAACUGGGGCUCAUAUCGGAUAGGAGCUCCUGCUGCAUGGUGGGGGUUGGUUAGUUUCGGCGGUUGGGGAUGGACUCGCGGCUUAUCAGCUUGUUGGUGGGGUAGUGGCUUACCAAGGCUUUGACGGGUAGCCGGCCUGAGAGGGUGACCGGCCACAUUGGGACUGAGAUACGGACCAGACGCCUACGGGAGGCAGCAGUGGGGAAUAUUGCACAAUGGGCGGAAGCCUGAUGCAGCAACGCCGCGUGCGUGAUGACGUCCUUCGGGUUGUAAACCGCUUUCGCCUGUGACGAAGCGUGAGUGACGGUAAUGGGUAAAGAAGCACCGGCUAACUACGUG